GAUGAACGCUGGCGGCGUGCCUAAUACAUGCAAGUCGAGCGAACAGACGAGGAGCUUGCUCCUCUGACGUUAGCGGCGGACGGGUGAGUAACACGUGGAUAACCUACCUAUAAGACUGGGAUAACUUCGGGAAACCGGAGCUAAUACCGGAUAAUAUAUUGAACCGCAGGGUUCAAUAGUGAAUGACGGUUUUGCUGUCACUUAUAGAUGGAUCCGCGCCGCAUUAGCUAGUUGGUAAGGUAACGGCUUACCAAGGCAACGAUGCGUAGCCGACCUGAGAGGGUGAUCGGCCACACUGGAACUGAGACACGGUCCAGACUCCUACGGGAGGCAGCAGUAGGGAAUCUUCCGCAAUGGGCGAAAGCCUGACGGAGCAACGCCGCGUGAGUGAUGAAGGUCUUCGGAUCGUAAAACUCUGUUAUUAGGGAAGAACAAAUGUGUAAGUAACUAUGCACGUCUUGACGGUACCUAAUCAGAAAGCCACGGCUAACUACGUG
rnacentral:rRNA from 1 species